rnacentral:rRNA from 1 species
AACAAGGUUUCCGUAGGUGAAACUGCGGAAGGAUCAUU